rnacentral:ncRNA from 1 species
AUUCUGGUUGAUCCUGCCAGUAGUUAUAAUGCUUGUCUCCAAAAUUAAGCCCUGCAUGGCAAAAUACACACAAUUUAUCAUUGAAACCGCAAAAGGCUUAUUAUUUCAGUUUUGGUUC